GAGAAACAGCUCACUGGUAUUUGAUUUCAUAGAAUCAUAGAAUCACAGAAUGGCUUGGGUUGGAAGGGACUUUAAGGAUCUUCCAGUUCCAACCACCCAGCCACGAGCAGGGAUGCCACCCACAAGACCAGGUUGCUGAAAGCCCCAUCCAAGCUGACCUUGAACACUUCCAAGGGUGAGGCAUCCACAGUUUCCCUGGGCAACCUGUUCCAGUGCCUCAUCACUAUUUGAGUAAAGAAAUUCUUCCAAAUAUCUAAUCUAAAUCAACUCUCUUUUAGUUUAAAGCUGCCACCCCUUGUUCUAUCACCACACUCUCUAAUAAAAAGUCCCUCUCCACCUUUCUUGUAGGCCCUUUUUAGUUACAGGAAAGCAGCUAUAAAGUCUCCCCAGAGCAUUCUUCAGGCUGAACAACCCCAGCUCCCUUAAUCUCUCUUCAGAGGAGAGGUGCUCCAGCUCUUUGGUCAUCUUCAUGGUUCUCCUCUGGAAUCACUCCAACAGAAUGGGGAUAUCUUCCCCUCUCUCCUGCUAUCUGUUGAGGAGACAUGGAGUAUAUAGAAGGAAAUUUAACACAUCUUUGUAAUUAUCUCACAGCUGAAAGAGAGCCUCACAGGGAACAUGAGCUUGGUGCUUGCCAACCCAGGAGUUUUCACUUGAGCUUGCAGCAAAGGCAGCAAGGUUUCAGAAAGGCAUCUUGUACUCAGCAGUAGUGAGGAGAGAGCUGGUGACACAGGAGAAGUGA